AACCUGCCAGCAAAAAGGAAGGGAAAGACAAGCUCCAUCACCCUUUCCCCCUCUCAGGAGCCCAAUUCAGCUCUGUUUGCAACAAAUUUUGUACUCAGGCAAUAAAAGGUGCUUGCAGUUAAUAGUAUUGCUUGGACAAUAAUAGGCAUAUAUCCCCCCAGUACAUAUGCAGACCUUCCAACUCCUAGACCUUAGAAGAGAUACUUACACAUAUACAGGUAUCAUCAUAUAACUGUAGAGAUUGGAAAACACAGGCUUGAGAAAAGUAUCAGAUUAAUCAUCCAGAAUCCCACAAAACUAGAGCCAGAAUCACACCUACAGCUCUCCAUUUUCUAAUGUCCAACUGUCUGCAUAUUUUUCAGUCUGGUUCUGCUGAAAACUUAUGUUGUGACAAAAAUCUAAACACUUUUUAUCACUUUUGACUUACAAACUAUGAGAUCGCAUUUGUCAGAUGUAAAACUAGAAGUAAUGCAUGCAAAUUUAAAGUUUUCUCAAAGCAGAAGGGAAACAUUUUAGCUGGAAUGGUAAGGAUAGGGUGGGCUUACUGUAAGAAUGUACUUCUUAUUCAAGGUAAAGACAUAUUCAGCUUCACAAUGGAUCUUUUAAGUUUGACUGUUGAUUCUCAUCCCAUACCCAGCAUGAAGAUUUAAUUUUAUUGUGCCUCUUCCUUACAGAGCUCUAGAUAUUGCUAAUAACUGAAUUCCAGUCACAAAGCACACUUGUAGAGAUAAGUCCAGUAGCUAAGCUGCUGACUGCAUUUUCUGAUGUCCUUAGAAAACACCAACCUGUAAUUAACCUAAAAUACCAACCAAGAAAAAUAGUUCAGUCUAUAAUAUACUCAUGUAGUUACAUCACUGAUGCCUUCCCAGAGUGACAGGGACAGUGCAGGAUACACAGUAGCCUAGAAAUGGGUUGGGUGCAAUACAUCUGUAGGGCAGAAGUGUUUUUACCACAGGUGUUCUUACUACAGGUGCCUUAAGCACAAAGCUGCAUCAGGUUUGGGGCUCUUUGGAGGUUCUCUCAGCACCAUCAGGUUUGAAAUUUUGGGUCGGAGCUGUGCUUAUUCAUCCAUAAUGACAAAGUCAGACUGAUCUCUGUUAUUCUAUUCUGAGCCCAGCUUAACUUCAUUAACUAUCAGAACAAGGUCAUGCUCUGUUAGGUUUGUACUUCCACAUCCCAUAGUAACUUUGAAUCAUCCUCACUGUCAAUGCACUGACAUUUAUGGUCUUCUACUAUCAUCCCUUUGUUUAUGUUCAAAGUUCAUUCACUCCCUUCUUCCAUUAGGGCUCUGUAACAUAUUCUCUGCCCUAAUACCUCUUGGUACCUUUUUCUUACUUGACCCAUCAAAAGUUUCUAUCUGUCACCAGAGGUAGUUUCCAUGGAAACUCUGAAGAACAGGCAAAGUUAACGAGGCAUAAAAUGAAGACAGUGUCCUCAAGCUCACCCAUUUUGAAAAUCUAGGUCAGCAAUGUUUGCUUAAAACAUUCCACUCUUCUAAAACCAUGUUCACUUGACUGUUAAGGAUGUAAUAAAAAGAGAAGCUCUAGUACAUCCCAAACUUAGCAUGUUUAAUAUAAUACUGGAUGUUCAUGUGAAUAAACUAUUUUUACAAUUUCUCCCAGCCUGUUUUCCCUUUCAGUUUCCUUGGAUAACCCACAGGCAUUUUGUUUUAUCAUCCAGUUACUUAUCUUCACCAAACAUUUACUCUGGCCAUCAUAAUCUGUCUUUCAGGUACUGUUCAAAAAACCUGCUAUGAUCUCACUGAGGGCAGGAGGUAUUGGCUCUAUCAUCCCUUUUAAUCUCAUUUAGAGGAUCUACAGGAAUGAGAGAACAGUCUACAUGAAAGCCCAAUUCAGUCUUAGCCUGCACAACACACAGGCAGAAGCCCAGUAAUGAAACCAAUGCUGAAAUUUGGAAUUUGAAUUUCCUUACAGUUGAUGUUGUCUGAUCUCAGCCACCAACUCCAAGCGCCAAAUGCUGAUCUGUUGAAAUGCAAUGGACUGUGCUCCAGUAAAUGAUUUAUUGCAUUCAAGGGGUUUCCUUAGUGAGAAUCACAGUUUCUCUCAGGAGAAGAAACAGCCAUACCAAGUGUUAGUGCUAAAAUAUGCUGUCAAGUACAUAAGGUUAUGGAAGGCUGCCUCAAAAAAGCUGCUGUGGAGGGAAAUAAUGCUGAUGAUUUGUUCAUCAUUUCCUCUACUAGUUGAAAGCUGAUGUAAUCAGCUGAAGUCAAAUACCUUUUGAGAUGCAACUAUAUAGCCAGGAAUACCCAUGUUUUUGGGCAUGUCUCAAUUUGAUCUCCACAAUUUCUCUCUAAUUUAUACAGACUGAGGGCCUUCAGUACUUUGGGUAGCUGAGUGAUGACCUGCUCCUGUUAAAAUCUCUUACUCCAUUCCUCUGUUGUGCUGCAAACUGAACUCCCAGCCUGGAAAGUUUUCUCCAAUGGUUGCUACAGGCCACAACUGCAUUCAUAAAAGCCGAAGUGUAAGAGGAAAACCAAAAGCAAUUUAUAAGGAUAGAUCUUAAGGACUAAGUGUGAGUGACACAGCCAAAUGGAUGGGGAGGAGCAAAAAGGUUGGCAUAAACCUGUUGGGAAAACUACUGUGGAAAGGAGGAAUUUGCAAAGGCUCAGGGGACUCAGCUAGGAAAAUGAAUGAGUCAAACUUUGAAAUAAAGGAGGGGCCAGGGUUACUGUCCAGGAAAUGGUGAAGUUGAGACAUCUGUUCACCUAAAAUAUACUCUCCAGGGAGGUAAGUAUGAUGGCUGAUGUAAAUCUGGAAUGGGCUAAAGGGCAAUAGAAAGAAAACAUUUUUGUAUUUUUUGUGCAUAAAAUGGCGACAUUUUUAGGCACCAAAGGAUAAAUCCUCAGCUGAACUAGACCACUGCAGCUGCACCAAAG